CUGACACAUGAUAAAAUCAUGUGUACAACCAUGCACUGUACAAUGAAUCUUGAUCAGCGAUGAACCCGAGUCCUACAAGAUUAUAAUGGAGCUGAUAAAGUCCCAUCGCCUUAUAUACAGGCAGCCAAAGAAAGUGUGAGAAGAGAGCUCCAGCAGAAGCCAAGGCCCAAGAGACACAGCGGAGGAUGCAGAACAGGCCUUUGUGGACUUUGGUGGUUUGAGACUGAUGAAGUUUGAAAUCAGACUUCAACACCAAGGUUUUCACUGACAAAGAAAACUGUUAGUUGUGCAUUUUCUGCAGGCAUGAAAGAGGCAACAACAACAAAACCACUGCAGACAUACUUCCAAGAAGAAAGAGGAUGGCUUAAGGCUGGGCCUCGAGGGAUAUUUCUGGAGACAAUGCCUUGACCCUGGAGGAGACCUUCUGCCUGUGGUAUUGCUCCUGACCACUUUUCAGUCGGCAAGAUGUGGGGGAUGACUACAACCAACCUGCUGGUCCUGGCCCACUAGGCUCAAGGCAAUGUUUAUGAACUCCCUCAUCUCAUGUUUCCUAAUAGAUAUAACAAAACAUCCCAGACUGGAAAAGAGAACUACAAAGUUCAGAUGAGCCAGAGUAAAUGCACUCUUCCUGUGCACUGAAUGGAGGAUACAAGGGAUGCAUAAACUGGCCAAGGUGCUAUUCAGGUUCUUUUAAAGCAGCCAUUUAUUGAAAGCAUCCAUCUGAACAU
rnacentral:lncRNA from 1 species